UCUUCCGUAGUAUAGUGGUCAGUAUGUGAGCUUGUCAUUCAACAACGCUCGAGACCCGGGUUCAAUUCCCGGCGGGAGAG
rfam:Podospora anserina genomic DNA, chromosome 3.